UGUAUGAUUGAGCAUAAGCUGACUACGUGGUUUUGUUCUUUGAACCUGUCCUGGGGGGCAGAUUUUGAGAUUAAUGAAGUCAACAGUAGCUGAAAGCGUAAAGAUCAAUAAUCAACCAAGUCAUCUUUUCAGUCAUAUAGAAGAAUGUAAGUAAAGCAAAUCUUUUAUUUAAAAAAAAAUUAUUUUAGUACUUAUUUUGGAUUAUUUGAGAAAAGAUUUCACCCUACGAUGUGAUUUGAUUUCGGAAUAUUUGGCGCAUGUGCCACUGGCUGGUUGUUAUUUUAAAAGUUGGUUUUGAACUUGCAGGGUGACUUUAAGUCAAAAGGAAAAAUUUUGGUUUAUCCAUGUGAAACUUUACCGGAUUUUUUGCAGAAAUUUAUAUAUUUGAAAUUGUUUCAAAUAAUUCUUAUAAUGUAAUUUCUUUACAUCUUUCAAAGGUUGUAAACACUCUGAUAUUUAAAUUCUUUGAUAGAUGUCUAGUGGAUAAUAUAAUCGGUUGAGUAAUUAAUUAUAUUGUCAACGUAAUAGCCCCACAAAAGUUUUAAGCUUCUGUAUUAGUUUAAAUCAAUCUUGUUUAAUCAGAUGGUUAGUUUCAGGUUGUUACAGAUUGAACCCUGGAUCCACCCCUGAUCAUGCUUGUUUCACUUUAAUCAUCUUAUUUUCUUCCUAAAUUUCAUUGCAAUGAUUUUUAUUUAAAGACUUGAUCUUAGGUGGUAAUGAAUAUCACCACCACCGUGGGAAUGACAUGAUAUAUUUCAUGAAAAUUUACACUACAAAACAAUACUCAUGAUCAUUCAAUACCAAUAACCAAACGCGCUGUAAAAUUUUUGUUGUAUUUAAAUUAUCGAUGCUAGUUACUUAUAUAUUUUUUCAGUCUUGUUUACCCGAGAAUCUGUUCUAUAUGAUUGAUCAACCAUGUGACUGCUUGGUUUGGUUUGCAGGACUUAAGUUUACAGGUUUGUGUUUCUGCAUUUAGUCAAAUGUUCAUCGAGAAUUUAUGAUAUGUGUCUAUCAUGUCUAUCGAGCUGAUCAAGUAUCAUCAAAGGGCGCUCAUUUGGUGAGGAAGAGGAAUUAAUUUUUGUGCCAUUGAGCAUAUUUUUGUGCAAUACAAGAUACUCUUGUUAUCAUUUUCUUAGACUUUUAGCCUUGCAUAACUUCUUGCUCCAUUUUAACGAAAUAUGGCUUCAAAGUUGAUACACCUGGUUGCUCACGAAGUCCCAAAUCAGCUAGAAUUCUCUCUAAGAGAAGCGUUUAGCCUUCUUCGACCAAAACUAGUGCCUCCAUUAAAGUUAACCAUCUCUUCUGCCCAAGAGUACUUAAAACUCAACGAGGCAAUCGUUUAUGGGGUUUUAUGUGAACCUAGUUUGGCCCAAACUUCUAUAAAGUACUUGCAUGCCAUUGUUAAUGAUGGGUACUGCUUAUUUAUCAAUAUACUUUCACAAAUUGUUGAUCUUUUGUAUUUAAAGAUGUUGGAAUCUCCAAAACGGCAGUUAAUUUGGGUUGCUUCUGUUAUGAUUGAUGUUUCUGGCAUAGGUUUUGGCGGUCUUUUGGUAUCUCUUCUGAGGCAAGUCGUAGGUGGGGAUUUUAGUGAUGGUAAUUUGUGGCUGAGCCAUAAGUUGGUUGACUUAUUUAUGUCCAAAUGGGAAUUGAUAUUGGAUGAGGAGCCAACAAUUCUGUCUAGUGCUUUGUACACAUAUCUUAGAUUGUUGACUGAUCAUUAUCGCCUAGCUUACACUCCAUGCUUGACAGAGUUGAAGCAGAAGGAGAUUGUGUUUUGUGUUAGAAUGUUGAGAGAGCAGUUUCAUUUGUGCUUGAGAAUUGGAAGGGAUCUAGUUCGUCUUUUACAGGAGUUGGUUCACAUUCCUGAGUUUCGAGUUAUAUGGAAGGAUUUAUUGUUGAAUCCAGAUUCAUUUAAGACUUCUGGGUUUUCAGAUAUAUCUCAUAUAUAUGCCAUGAGAACAUCGAGUAGGUAUUUCUUACUUAGAAUAACUCCUGAAAUGGAGACUCAGCUACGAUUUUUGCUUACCCACGUUAAGUUAGGAUCUCAGAAAAGGCACCAGAUAUGGUUCACUAGGAAGUUCCUUUAUCGGCCCGAGAGAGAGACUCUCAUCUCUGACAUUGUUCGCUUUAUUUGUUGUGCUCACCACCCUUCUAAGGAAGUUCUUCAAUCGGAUGUCAUUCCGAGAUGGGCCGUUAUUGGAUGGUUGUUAAAAUUAUGUACUAAGAAAUAUGUUGAAGCUAAUGUGAAGCUGGCCUUGUUUUACGAUUGGCUUUUCUUUGAUGAAAAAGUGGACAACUAUAUGAAUGUUGAGCCUACAAUGUUGUUGUUGGCAAACUCUCUACCUAAGUAUAUUGACGUCACCAAUUCUCUAUUGGAGUUCUUGUUUCUAGUUGUAGAAAAUUAUGAUAUAGAUAGGAAAAAUAUCAUCUGCAAAGGCGUAUCGUCUGCUAUAAGAACGCUAGUCAGCAAAGGAGUGAUUGCUUCUCUUGACAUUUUAACUUCUUGCAAUUUGCUUUCUCCUCUUGUCAAAGAGAUGCUUCAAAAUUUUAUGUCCAAGGUUCAAUCUGGAAUAUGUAAAGAGCCUCAUCCACCCGGAAAUUUUUCUUCUAAUAUGACAUCCCAGACGUCACCUAGUUUGUCAAAUACGCAAAUUGAAACGCAUAAUUUUGCUGGACUUCCUGCAUGUCCUGAAAAUGCUGAAUUGAAUACUCAGCCAAUUUCUGUAAGUAAUGAGGGCCAAGAAAACAAAUUCACAAAAUUCAUUGAAAAAAUAAGGGAGUCAAUGAAAUUCUCAAGCAAGAUGGGCCAACAAAGUGUGGAGGAAAUUUUAUUUUUGCUCAUAAAUUCUGGCAAUGAAGAAAAUUUUGGUGACUCUAAAUUUCUAGCUUGUGAAUUGAAGAAAGAACUUGAGCUGGCUGGGUACAAGUUUUUUUCACCGAUCGGAAAUCUCCCAACCGGUGAUGAUGCUGAUGAGGAAGUUCAAUCUGUAACAGCUUCCGUCAUUCGUACCUUUAUAAUUUCUAAACACCAGCAGAUCAAACAGAUGUUAUUUUGUUGGUCAAGAGAUGGUUGUUCAGUUGGUGCUCGAAUAUUAUCAUACGCAUUAAGACUUGCAUAUGAAGCUCAAUUAGCAGGCCAUGGAGAAAAUUUUACAAAUGAGAUCAAUUACAAAAAGCUGCCCCUGCUGAAGUCUCAUAUUGACGGAUAUUUUGCAUUUACAUCUGAAAAUAAUACUCAUGUUAAAAAAACAGUUACUUUUACUUCUAAGGUUGAUGAUAUAUUGGUAUCUAAGGUAAUUGAUGGUGCAUUCAUCUCUUAUAGGAACAUACUUUUACAGGGUUGGGAUGAUUCAAGUAAAGAAAUAAAUGCAUCUCCUGGUAAGCUCCUGGCAGCUGAUAUGGUGUCUUGUUCAUUGUGGAAGAAAAAAAUUUUUGCGGGUCUUUUCCGCAGCAUCUUUACUUAUCUUCCUGAUCUAUCCCUUGCUGACGAAGAUGUUAUAUUUUUACUUGUCAGUCAGCUGGAAGAUUUUGAUCUUGUAUCGAUACAAAUCGACGUGGGAUUGAAAAAGUACGCUAUAUUUGGCGAAGAUGUCAAAAAAGUUCUUCAACUAAUUAGAAGAUCUCUUUACUGGAAAGAAGUACAUCAGCACAAGUUCUGGGCCUUAAUUAGAUCAGAGCUCACAGUUUCCAAGUUUCCUGUUGAGAAGUUGCUUUUAGACUGUUUUUUCUCGACUGAGUUUGAUUCGAAAUCAAGUGCUACAUCUAUUGGAGGUCUUUUGGGGGUAUGUAGUUCUUGUGCUCCGACUCCAGAAAUUGUCGGUGCUGUGAUGUUAUUGCCAAACAAGUUUGCUGAUUUUUCUGCUGCCAUCCUCUCUCAUUGGACCACGACUAAUGCAUUGAUGUUCUCCUCUAGUAUAGAAGAUUUUUUAAAUAAAUUUGAGCAUAAGAAUGGGGAUGCUCGACUUAACUGGGACAGCGUGUCGAUGAAUCAAUCCGCUCUUUUGUUUUUGAUAAAAUACUUUGAAGCACAAGGUGUUCGUGUUAAUAUGCUCGAGAAACUGGCAUUCAGGAACCGUGCAGUUCCUAUGGAUACCGGAUAACUCUACCUUUGUGGCACGUUCUUGAAGAAUAUGCAUGAUGGCUUAAUCGAGCUAUCUGUGUAUCAUCGAUAUUGUAAUCUUCCUAACUAAUUAAAACAUAAUCCUCUAUCCUCUGAGAUUGCUCCUCAUGUCAUUGCACAACGAAGAAAAAGGGAGAGGAUGCGUAUUUUAGUAGGAUAUUGUAGGUGGGUUCAUGUUCAGGGCAAACCAUAUGGAACAGAUCCAACUACAAUAUGGAGCAAAAUCAGGGGACGUAGGGAGUACAUAUGAUUAUGUUUUGAUUCGUGUAGCUGAUGGAUGUGCCUUAGAUUGACUUUCUUGAUGCUAUAGACUUGAAUUGCAUAACCAGUAUGCAGUUAUGGAUAACGAGCCCUUUGUUUGAUGACAAGUGCAUACUACAAGUGUUACAAUGGACUGUGUGACAAAUGCAUGUAGGUUGGAGCUAUUGGCUGGUUUGACCAGCUGAAAGUACUAAGAUAUGUAAGUUUCGAAUAAGCUCCUAAUUGUGUUCCAGGCAAUUGUGACCGGACUAUCAGCAAAAUGGUGACCGGAGUAAAGAUCGACUAUAUGAAUCUGUUGAGUCAUAUUGUCGAUCUUUACAAGAUGCAGGAUCUUCUCUGUUCAAGUCAAUUUAUUUGGUUUUACUAUCUAUUCCGAUAUACACUUUGUAAUCAAUUACACACCAGUUGAUAAGAUAAAUUUGUAAGAUACAUGUGGAAGUUUUUCAAUUACACCUUUUACCUUAACAUAGCAA